GCAAGAGAAGAGUAGAACUACUCAAGAGCAAGAGAACUCAAAAUUGGACUUUGAAAACUGCAUUGCAGUUUUCAUUUAAUUACAAUUGGAUUUUUGCUCUUUCCUUGGUCUUCAACCUCACCAAUUUAAAGAGUAGAAGCUACCUAGAUGAGGAAUUAGGUGGGCAAGAGAAGAGUAGAACUACCUAAGAGCAAGAGAACUCAAAAUUGGACUUUUGGAAACCGGAAACUGCAUUGCAGUUUUCAUUUAAUUACAAUUGUUUUUGUAGCUGUUUUCGUUUUUGUUUUUGUUUUUUUAACAUAAUUGAUAUCUACAUUAUAUUUUUGUUGCAGUUUCUGUUUUUAUUUGCAGUUUUUGUGUGAAUAAGUGUUGAAAUGCUUUUUAUUUUUAUUUAUUUUUAAUAAACCAUUGAUUGUUCAUAUAAAUAUUGUAUAAUUGAAUAAAUAUUACAAAAUCAAGUUUGGUGUAGUGGUUUGUGAGUGAGCCUUCCUCCUUUGAGGGUCAAGGUUCGAGUCCAUUCAAUGACACAAUCUUUUUUUUAAAGGUGAAUAAAGGGCAACGGAGUUGGUCAUCUACAGACGGUGGCAGGUAAUGGCGGCCAACGGUGGUGGUGGCAGGUGGCCAGCAGCGGGAGUCCGGUGGUGGUGGCAGGUGGCCGGCGGCGGAAGUCCGGCGGUGGUGGCCGGCGGCGAGAUAUGAUUGGCUAGAUAUGGACAUGUGGCAUAGUAUGCUUGCCUUAGAAGGAGUGGCAUUGUGUGUAAUUUUGAUAUGUUUUAAUGAUAUUUUUGUAAAAUUAGGUACCACAAUUUGGUCUUUUGCCUUAUGCUAAUUAGAUGAAAUUGUAUUACUAUCUUCUAAAUUAGUAAACUAUAUUGUGUUUUAAAACUAAAGCUCCCUUAAAACAAUUCAUAUGCCAAGCAUGCGAGACUAUUUAAGGAGAAAUUGGUCAUUUGCACUUUAAAAUAAUUAAAACUAAAAAAAAUUAAAGCAAAU
rnacentral:lncRNA from 1 species